ACAAACAUAUUAAAGUGAUUUUUAGAGCUGGGAGCUGAAAAAGGGGCUUGCUCCGUUCGCUCCACGCAUCGUCCCGGCAUUGCAGUGCCGCCGGGUACGGUGC
rnacentral:snRNA from 1 species